UCGUUCCUACGGGACGCAGCAGUGGGGAAUAUUGCACAAUGGGGGGAACCCUGAUGCAGCGACGCCGCGUGGGCGAGGAAGUAUUUCGGUAUGUAAAGCCCUAUCGGCAGGGAAGAAGAAAUGACGGUACCUGAAUAAGAAGCACCGGCUAAAUACGUGCCAGCAGCCGCGGUAAUACGUAUGGUGCAAGCGUUAUCCGGAAUUACUGGGUGUAAAGGGAGCGUAGGCGGCUGUGCAAGUCUGGAGUGAAAGGCGGGGGCCCAACCCCCGGACUGCUCUGGAAACUGUAUGGCUGGAGUGCAGGG
rnacentral:rRNA from 1 species